UCUUUCCCCUUAAGCAGUGGCCUGUACUGAAGCUAAGAGCCAUGUAAAGACAAUCUGCUCUAUAACCCUCUGUGUGGCACUUCCAAUCAUCCUCCCACUGUGUCUGGGACUGCUGCAGCCAGCUGCAGGCGAAGAGGAUGAAAGUGUGGCUCCUUUCCACAACCACUGUCAAUCCAUUGCGUCCUGAGCUGAGCUGCCCUGGAUGGCUGAACUGCAACAAUCUCAAAAUAGAAGAUUUCUGUCUAGAAAGGGAGCCAACUGAGCUUUGGUUUUUCUAAGACCUUGAUCUGCUUUACACCUGAUGUAAUCAGGGUAACCUGAUGUAACCAAGGAAGAUUCUGCUGUCACUCUCUGCAACUGUGCACGAAGAGUGAUAGGAAAUGCUGUUACUUCAGGGGACUCUGAAGACCACCAAGGAGGCAAGCAAGAUGAGACAUCAGAAGACAAGCAGAACGCAUUUAUGCUAACUUCUGGUUUCAAAGCCCAGGAGUACGAAGACUUUUUGAAGAAACUAAACAACUAUAACCGCGAUGGACGAUUUCAUGCAGGCGAUAAAUUGGCUGUUCAGAAGAAUAAUUCCUGCAUUGCAGGAGAACUUGCUUCUCUGCUUUCUGCCUCCUUCAAGCAAACCGCCUGUGCAGAGCUGAGGCAGUCCUGUUGGGGAGUGAUCAAUAUGCUGCCACAUACCAUCCGUAAUUCUGGAAUUUGCUUCUCCCACCCACACCACGGUGGUUUCACAAUGUGCUUUCUUGUGCUGUAGCAGGGACAGCCUCCUCAGGCUGUUUUUCUUAGUCAUGUGGAUUUGUCAGAUCCAGCCUUUUUUCCUAAUCAAACGGGCUUUUCAGUGUGUACGCAGCAUUGGAUAAGCACAAAGGCUCACAUAGUCGGUCCAGAUGACUCUUUAAGGAGGCUUUCAAUGUCUGUAAUUUACUGCCCAUGUUUUCUUUUCUUUGAAGCAUACCUUACCUCCCUGCUUGGACCAAGCAGUGCUAUGGCACCCGUUCUGGGUAAAAAUGAAAGUGUGGUCCUUUAUCAGCAGUGAACAAUAUUUCAUUUGAAUGUUUGUGCUGCAAAACCGCACUGACAAAGGACUGUGCAGGGGUGGAUAGAUUGGGAAAACCUGUGGGACAGCAUGAAGAAUUAGUGUGUGGGCAGCAUGGCUCACUGGUUAGGCGUGGAGACCCGACAGAUCUGGCCCUGGCAGACAGACCCUGAACUUGCGUGGACCAGUAGAGCUCUGCUACAUUCAGUGGCACUACAACAGUUUACAAAGCGUGAGUUUUUCUUUUUCAAUAUCCUGCUCUCCGGUGACCACCCUGACUAGCCGAAUUCCUUUUUCCGAGGGCACAUUUCCUAGCUGUUAAAUAUCAAAUUAUCCAAAUUAAAAAACCUGCCAGUAAGGCUUUGGUUUGCUUCCUGCAUUGCUGUUGGUAGUUAAUGAGCAAUGGUAUGUGGCUGCACCAUCCUCUGGGGCUUAAUCUCCCCUUCGUGUUAAUAGUUAGUUAUAUCACAGAGGCCCACUGAAUGGAGACUAUUCCCUCUUGAAAAAUUGCUCUCUCCUCUGAAGCAGAGGACUUGCGUGAGAAGAGAAGCAUCCUAUAACACUGGUUUAAUCCUUCAGAAGAUCCUGAAUUUUGAAAGGACUACAACAGAGUUUGUCUACCGUAUUAGUGUCACACAGGGACAGGACCUGUGUCCUGUGGACUUCCAGACAUGUAGCAUCGCUGUGGACAGCUUCAGUCUCACGUCAGGGAGUCCUGUGAGCAAUCAUCUUGCUGCUGGUACUGUGACCCGUUGCUGGUGAGGCUGACCUCUCCAGCGUGGGAGCGUGGAGCACAGCACAACCUGCUCAGUAUGCUGCCUGGGGAGGCUUCUUCAAAGUGAGUCUGGAGGCAUUCACUGCUACGCUAUGCGCCGUAGCCUGGGCGUGUGUUAAAUAUAGGAAUAGCAGCUGGAAGAAUAGAGGCAGAUGAGGGAAUCCGAGGUAACAAGAAGACAAUGCUGGUCAGAUACACUGUUUCUUACUGGUUUCAGUCAGUUUUCCCCACUUUUCCACUAAAAUUCUGUUCGGAAAACAACUCCCCUAUUUUUUUCCUUCUCCUGCUGGGCUUGUGAUUACAAAUAAAAAUGGAAGCAUG